AGUAACAAACUAAGUCCAUGUCAUUUUGUUGUCUAAAACUGUCUUAUUCUAAUGCUAAGACAGCAUGAUACAGUAACUUUACCAUUGUGUUUGGCCUCAUCAUGGCCAUGGCAGCUCAGGUGCUGUGCCUUUAAACAGCAAAGGGUUGCCAUAAACCUGUAACCUUAACCCUCAGUCCCAUAGCACACCUUUUGCCAGAUAAGAGACAUAUUAACACAGUACACAUACACUCAGGUCUUCUAUAUUCACACACACACACGUGCACACACACACACAGACACACAGUACAAAGAAGGUUCAGGUCCUUAUUGAUUUCCGUUUGAAGUCCCAGGUUUACUGAAGUGGCUGCUGUCUUUAAGGUUUCUACUGAGGUGCAGGUGUUAACUUCACAAGAUGCCGAUACAAGACACGUUUCUCAUUUUAGAAAUCUUCAUCCCGUUGAUCACAUUUGGCAUCAGCAUCGUCUGCUGCAUAGCCUUCUGUAAGUCCUUACACCGGGCCCGCGAGGUGCAUCUGGACCGGGAGGAGAGACGAGACAGGCCCUCCAUCUAUGUCAUUCCCUUCCCCACAGUAUCUUAUGACAACGAAGACAUCCACAGGCCUCCUCGCUACAGCAACUCAGAGUUCUACAGCCCACCUCCUGCCUACAAUGAGGUGGAGAUGAAGCCAGACUUUAUCCACCCAGAGCUUCCUCCAGCCUAUUCUGAGCUCUCCAACACACCUGUUUUCCCCAUGCAAUCUUACUCAGUGCCUCCUGAACCCCACUCCCAACCAUAGGACCGUACCACCUUAGGAAUCCUGUGAGGGGGAGGCCUGAGGCCACAGACUAAGGGAUAAAUAACACAGAAAAUGGCACAUACUGUAUGUGGAGUGGGGAUCCUGAAGCUGGACAUGUAUACCACAGAGACUUGGUCCUUGGGAAUGUGGAAUGGGGACGUGAGGUGGAAAGUUUGGAGACCAUAAGGAAAAGCAAGUGUUUGGACGUCUAUGAAAGUGUGUACUUUAAAGCAAAAGUUGGGGAUAAGAGAUCAAAUGGGGUUGCGUAGUAGCUAUAGCUACCAAUCUGUACAAACCAGUGUGUAAAUAUUAAGAAAUCUUUCACAUUUUAUUUUUCAAAGUGUAACUCAGAAUAGUUUAUUAAUUUAUGUAAAAUCUCAUGGACCUUGUUGUGUAAUAUGGUAAAUUAUUUUAACUAUUUUGACAUUGGGAAUAAAGUCUGUUCUCAUAUCAAUGAUCUGAUCUGUCCUAUAUUAGCCAUUUAUGAUGCUGUAACACAUUGUCCAUGCUCUUUGGCCCAAUAGGUUACAUAACAGCCCUACCCAGGAAGCUGUUCUGUGAAACACUGGUAAGAUAUUGAACAGACAAACUGAUAAAAAUGUACUAUGUGAUGGACAUGACAGGUUGUGGCAUAGCUCUCGGUUAUAAAUAUGUUAUUUCCUGUUACUCCAGUUGCCCAAUCAUAUAUCCUUACAUGAAUUGGAACAAGUCUUUGGCUGAUGAUGUGUAGUGUAUGAAGUGACAGCAAAAUGGUAACCCCUUCAUUUAAUGCCCCCUUGCCUAUUUCUAUUUUUUAUGGAUGCCCAUUCGCUUCUGCCAAGGCAGCAGCUUUUCUUCCUGGGGUCCAAACAUAUUAAAGCACUUACAUUACAGAUAAAACAAAACAUUAAACAGAACAUCAUAUAACAUUAUUACCCCACUACAUAUCUACAAAACAAAAUGUGCUAUACCACCAUACAACAAUAUCACAAUGCAUGUGUCUGUACCUUUCUAUAUCUCUUCACAGUCCCCGUUGUUCCAUAAGGUGUAUUUUUUACCUUUUUUUUUAGCUGAUUCCACUGCUUGCAUCAGUUACCUGAUGUGGAAUACAGUUCGAUGUAGUCAUGACUCUAAGUGGCACUGUGCGCCUCCCAUAGGCUGUUCUGGACUUGGGGCUGUGAACUUCAACUUGCUAAAUUUCCACAUUUUUCAUUAUGAGAAGUAGUUGAGGAUUAGUGAGUGAUUUGUCACAAAUACAAUGCUUUUAGUUUUGUAAAUAUUUAGGACUAACUUAUUCCUUGCUACCCAUUGCGGAAACUAACUGCAGCUCUUUGUUAAGUGUUGCAGUCAUUUCAGUUGCUGUAGUAACUGACGUGUAUGGUUUUGAGUCAUCCGCAUACAGUACAUAGACACACUGGCUUUACUCAAAGCCAAAGGCAUGACGUUAGUAAAGAUUGAAAAAAGUAAGGGGCCUAAACAGCUACCUUGGGGAAUUCCUGAUUCUUCCUGGUUUAUGUUUGAGAGGCUUCCAUUAAAGAACACCCUCUGUGUUCUGUUAGACAAGUAACUCUUUAUCCACAUUAUAGCAGGGGGUGUAAAGCCAUAACGCAUACAUUUUUUUCAGCACCAGACUACGAUCGAUAAUUUCAAAAGCUGCCCUGAAAUCUAACAAGACAGCCCCCACAAUCAUCGUAUCAUCAAUUUCUCUCAGCCAAUCAUCAGUAGUGCUGUGCUUGUUGAGUGCCCUUCCCUGUAAGCAUGCUGAAAGUCUAGUGUCAAUCUGUUGACUGUGAAAUAGCAUUGUAUCUGGUCAAACUAUUUUUUCCAGAAGUUUACUAAGGGUUGAUAACAGGCUGAUUGGUCGGCUAUUUGAGCCAGUAAAGGGGAUUGAUUAUUAUUGGGUAGCAGAAUGACUUUAGCUUCUCUCCAGGCCUGAGUGCACACACUUUCUAGUAGGCUUAAAUUGAAGAUGUGGCAAUAUCGUCCGGCCAUUAUCCUCAGUAAUUUUCCAUCCAGAUUAUCAGAACCCGGUGGCUUGUCAUUGUUGAUAGACAACAAUAAUUUUUUUCUCCUCUUCCACAAAGACUUUACGGAAUUCAAAAGUACAAUUCUUGUCUUUCAUAAUUUGGCCAGAUAUACUUGACUGGGUAGUGUCAGUGUUUGUUGCUGGCAUAUCAUAUAUACGUUUGCUUAUCUUGCAAAUGAAAAAGUUAUUACAGUAGUUGGCAAUAUCAGUGGGUUUUGUGAUGAAUGAGCCAUCUGAUUCAAUGAAUGAUGAAGCUGAGUUUGCCUUUUUUCCCAAGAUUUCUUAAGGUGCUCCAAAGCUUUAUACUAGCAUUCUUUAUAUAAUUAAUUUUUGUUUGUUUCAUAUUAUAGUUUAUUUUCAUUUUUAUUUAGUUUAGUCAGAUUUCUUAAUUUGCAGUAUGUUUGCCAGUCAGUUGGGCUGCCAGACUUAUUUGGCAUGCCUUUAGCCUCAUCCCUCUCAACCAUAGAAUUUUUAAAUUCCUCGUCAAUCCAAGGGGAUUUAAUCAUUUUUACAGUAAUUUUCUUAAUGGGUGCAGGCUUAUUAGUAACUGGAAUAAGCAAUUUUACAAAUGUGUCAAGUGCAGCGUCUGGUUGCUUCUCAUAACACACCACAGACCAGCAAAUAUUAUUUACAUCUUCAACAUGUGAAUCACAACAAAACUUAUUUGUAUGACCUCUUAUACAGUAUAUUAGGCCCAGCCUUUGGAACUUUGGUUUUCCUAGAUAUGGCUGCUAUAUUGUGAUCACUACAUCCUAUCGAUUUGGAUACUGCUUUAAAUUAAACUUCUGCAGCAUUUGUAAAUAUGUGAUCUAUACAUGUUGAUUUAAUUCCUGUGCUGUUUGUAAAUACAUUGGUAUGUUGACUGAGACCCUGAACCAGGUUGUAGGCACUGGUUACAGUUUGAAUUUUAUUCUUGAGUGGGCAGCUUGAUGAGUGCCAGUCAAUAUUUAAAUCACCCAGAAAAUAUACUGUUGAUAUCACAUUAUCAAGCAUUUCACACAUAUUAUCCAGAUACUUACUGUUAGGACUUGGUGGUCUAUAGCAGCUUACCACAAGAGUGGGCUUAAGGUGAGGCGGAUGAACCUGUAGCCAUAUUACUUCAACAGUAUUUCACAUGAGAUCAUCUCUAAGCUUUACAGGAAUGUGAUUCUGAAUACAGACUGCAACACCACCCCCAUUGGCAUUUCUGUCUUUUCUGUUGACGUUAUAUAUUGCUACCACUGUAUCAUCAAAGGUAUAAUGUAAGUGAGUUUCAGAGCUAGUCAGAAUGUGAACGUCAUCUGUUAUAAGCAAGUUAUUGACUUCAUGGACCUUGUUUCUCAAGCUGCAUAUGUUCAUGCGGACAGUUUUUUAGCACUUCUCUGUUCUGCUUGAUUAAUUUUAAUGCUUUUAUCACGUUUCAGGUAUGACCCAGAUGCAGACACAAAAGUUUAUUUUGAAUUAUUUAGAAUACAGGGGCAGGCAAACGACAGGUCAAAGGCAGGCAGGGGUCAGAAGUCCAGAGAAGGUGCAAAGGGUCCAGAACAGCAGGCAGUCUCAGGGUCAAGGCAGGCAGUGGUCAAUAAUCCAGUGAGGUGGGGAAAGGUAUAGAAUGGCAGGCAGGCUCAGGGUCAGGGCAAGAAGAAUGGUCAAAACCAGGAAGGUCUAGAAAACAGGAGCAAGAAACAGACCGGAGCAGGGGAACAAACGCUGGUUGGUUUCACGAACAAAACGAACUGGCAACAGUCAAACAGAGAACACGGGUUUAAAUACACAGGGGAUAAUGGGGAAGAUGGGCGACACCUGGAGGGGGGUUGAGACAAGCACAAAGGCAGGUGAAACAUAUCAGGGUGUGACAGCUUUACUGGGAAGCUUAUCAGAAGUAGACUUGCUCAUUUUAUUUAUAUUGGGGCUGAUAGUGCAGGGUGAGCUGCAUACAGCGGUCUUCCUACUAGGGCACACCGCAUCAGUGCUAACAGUAUAACUCUGGUUCAUAGGCUAAUGAUUACUGCAUACAAUAGCUGUACGAUCAACAGUGUUAUUCAGGGCAAUUAGGGGGACAUACAUUACAUUACUUACAUUGUCUGACAACGCCUUGAGGAUCGUGGACAUUUGAGGCAGCAUUAUGAUGACGCAUUGUCACAAUGGCAGGGAUUUACUGAGCUGGUCUUGGACCAUUGAUAAGUCAUUGUUUCAACACAGCCUUGAAAUGCGUGGACAGAGUCCAGGAGCCAAGAUGAUUUGGAUGGACUCCGUCUAUGACCGUAAACUAUGAUCAAAAUUAUGAGGAACUAUGAUCAAAACAGAUAUAUGGCCCAUCUCUGUUAUUCAUUAUCUAAGACUAGACCAGAGGUUGAGCAGUUGUUAUUGAGAUGCCUCAAUGCUACUAACCCAACACUGUUUUGGGUCUCAAAAUGUGUGAUGCGUUACUUUAUGGAACAUUCUGAACAAUACUAGCAUUUUGCAAAUAUGACAGACUGGGUUUGAAACCUGGGUCUCUUGUUUGCUAGUGGACUGUGUUAGCUCAAUGAGCUAAACACCUUGGCAUUAACUUGGGGAACUAACACAUGUCUUCAGAACAGGUCUCAGUGCAAAGUUACUCAUCAAGUGAGUGUGAUUCAUCAACUUUUAUAUAGUAUAAAGUGGAUUUGGAAAGUAUUCAGACCCCUUGACUUUUUCCACAUUUUGUUACAUUACAGCCUUAUUCUAACAUGGAUUAAUUACAAAAAUGUCCUCAUCAAUCUACAAACAAUACCCCAUAAUGACAAAGCGAAAAACAGUUUUUUACAAUUUUUUGCAAAUGUAUUAAAAAUAAAAAAACAGAAAUACCUUGUUU
ensembl:lncRNA